AGUGAACGCUGGCGGUAGGCCUAACACAUGCAAGUCGAACGGCAGCACAGUAAGAGCUUGCUCUUACGGGUGGCGAGUGGCGGACGGGUGAGGAAUACAUCGGAAUCUACUUUUUCGUGGGGGAUAACGUAGGGAAACUUACGCUAAUACCGCAUACGACCUACGGGUGAAAGCAGGGGAUCUUCGGACCUUGCGCGAUUGAAUGAGCCGAUGUCGGAUUAGCUAGUUGGCGGGGUAAAGGCCCACCAAGGCGACGAUCCGUAGCUGGUCUGAGAGGAUGAUCAGCCACACUGGAACUGAGACACGGUCCAGACUCCUACGGGAGGCAGCAGUGGGGAAUAUUGGACAAUGGGGGCAAGCCUGAUCCAGCCAUACCGCGUGGGUGACGAAGGCCUUCGGGUUGUAAAGCCCUUUUGUUGGGAAAGAAAAGCAGCAGGUUAAUACCCCGCUGUUCUGACGGUACCCAAAGAAUAAGCACCGGCUAACUUCGUG
rnacentral:rRNA from 1 species